rnacentral:rRNA from 1 species
UGGGGAAUAUUGGACAAUGGGCGAAAGCCUGAUCCAGCCACGCCGCGUGUGUGAAGAAGGUCUUCGGAUUGUAAAGCACCUUAAGUUGGGAGGAAGGGCAGUAAAUUAAUACUUUGCUGUUUUGACGUUACCGACAGAAUAAGCACCGCUAACUCUGUGCCAGCAGCCGCGGUAAUACAGAGGGUGCAAGCGUUAAUCGGAAUUACUGGGCGUAAAGCGCGCGUAGGUGGUUUGUUAAGUUGGAUGUGAAAGCCCCGGGCUCAACCUGGGAACUGCAUCCAAAACUGGCAAGCUAGAGUAUGGUAGAGGGUGGUGGAAUUUCCUGUGUAGCGGUGAAAAUGCGUAGAUAUAGGAAGGAACACCAGUGGCGAAGGCGACCACCUGGACUGAUACUGACACUGAGGUGCGAAAAGCGUGGGGAGCAAAACAGGAUUAGAUACCUUGGUAGUCCACGCCGUAAACGAUGUCAACUAGCCGUUGGGAGUCUUGAACUCUUAGUGGCGCAGCUAACGCAUUAAGUUGACCGCCUGGGGAGUACGGCCGCAAGGUUAAAAA